AGACAUCUGAGUGACCUGCAGUGACAUCUGUCACCGACUGAUCACUUGGGCAGAUCUGAUUGAUCUGGCUGGCUAGGUGUGUGUCUCCUUCCCACCUCUUGUUUCUGCAUAUGCAUCCCUCCCAGAGUUACACACUUGAUUGCAGAAGACAGCCUUCCCUGGUUGUGGUGGACUAUGUAAUGUGUCAAUAGUCACACCCUCACUGCUAGAACCCCCAAACAAGCUCCUGACAUCCAUCCUUCCAUUUCACUGAAGUCACUCCUGAGUGUUUUCCAG
ensembl:misc_RNA predicted gene, 23824